rnacentral:lncRNA from 1 species
AUGUAUAACAUAGACAGAGAGAUGUGUAAGUUAGACAGAGAGAUGUGUAAGUUAGUCAGAGAGAUGUAUAAGUUAGUUAGAGAGAUGUGUAAGUUAGACAGAGAGAUGUGUAAGUUAGUCAGAGAGAUGUAUAAGUUAGUCAGAGAGAUGUAUAAGUUAGUCAGAGAGAUGUAUAAGUUAGACAGAGAGAUGUGUAAGUUAGACAGAGAGAUGCGUAAGUUAGACAGAGAGAUGCGUAAGUUAGACAGAGAGAUGUGUAAGUUAGACAGAGAGAUGUAUAAGUUAGACAGAGAGAUGUGUAAGUUAGACAGAGAGAUGCGUAAGUUAGACAGAGAGAUGCGUAAGUUAGACAGAGAGACGCGUAAGUUAGACAGAGAGACGCGUAAGUUAGACAGAGAGAUGUGUAAGUUAGUCAGAGAGAUAUAUAAGUUAGACAGAGAGAUGUAUAAGUUAGUCAGAGAGAUGUGUAAGUUAGACAGAGAGAUGUGUAAGUUAGACAGAGAGAUGUAUAAGUUAGUCAGAGAGAUGUAUAAGUUAGUCAGAGAGAUGUGUAAGUUAGUCAGAGAGAUGUGUAAGUUAGUCAGAGAGAUAUAUAAGUUAGUCAGAGAGAUGUAUAAGUUAGACAAGAGAUGUAUAAGUUAGUCAGAGAGAUGUAUAAGUUAGUCAGAGAGAUGUGUAAGUUAGACAGAGAGAUGUAUAAGUUAGUCAGAGAGAUGUGUAAGUUAGUCAGAGAGAUGUAUAAGUUAGUCAGAGAGAUGUAUAAGUUAGUCAGAGAGAUGUGUAAGUUAGACAGAGAGAUAUAUAAGUUAGACAGAGAGAUGUAUAAGUUAGUCAGAGAGAUGUGUAAGUUAGUCAGAGAGAUGUGUAAGUUAGUCAGAGAGAUGUGUAAGCUAGACAGAGAGAUGUGUAAGUUAGACAGAGAGAUGUAUAAGUUAGUCA